rnacentral:tRNA from 1 species
GGCGCCGGUGGCCGGCGGCGCGGUGACCGGCUGGUUACCGGCCGGCGGCGUCGGCUCGGGUGCGGCGGGCGGCUCC